UUCAGAGAAAGAUAAUGUAUAAAAAUAUUUUCGUCGCCUUUUUCUAAUUUUUAUUAUAAUAAUAUUGAUAAAGUUCUUAUUACUCUAAAUUUUGGAGCCAUAAGGAUAUAUAAAUGUGACUGAAUUAAAAGAACUCUUGUGCUGAAAGUUUUUAAAGCUGGUUAAACCAUUUUUAUCAUUUUUUCAGUCAAUAUAUCGUAAAUCGAUAUCGUAUUUCUUUCUUUCCUUUACUGAUAAGCCUCACAUGAAGAAUUUGUUAGCAUUGUUGGCUGUUAAUAAGUUAAUAUUUAUGUAAAUUUUUUAAGUCAGACUAAACUGAAUUGCUAUUUGCAUGGGACUUGCUGUUCUAAAUUUUUGAUUUACCACAAUUUCUUAAAAAUGCUUCAAGUGUGAUACCUAACUAAAAAAAAAAACAUCAUUGAAAGGGUGAAAUUGGUGAAGCAUUUAUAAAGAGCAAGACAACAUGAAUCUUGAUUUAUAGCUGUGGAACAACAAAUGUUAAAUGAUGUCUGUCUUUGAAUAGAUUCCUUACCCAUCAAAGCAGUUUCUUCUCCUGAAUUGUAUUGUUACUAUUUAAAGCAAUGAUAUUAAAAGCAAGUAAAGAAAUGUGUGGAAUGAUCUAAGGCCCAAAUAUUUCUGCUGAUGAGUUCUACUGCUGUUUUCUUCCUUUUCUUCAAAUUAGUUGCUACUUUUACCUUGUGGAAUAAUAUUUUUAAUUCACAUGUGUUUCAACCUGUAUAAUUUUUAAUUCUAUUAUGUAUUCUGUGUAAAACAUAUUGAACUAGUUGAAUUACUGUUGGAAUGUAAAUCUUGGUUUCAACAAAAAUAGUAUACCUAACACAAACAAGGUGCUGCUAUGAUUAUUUUAUUUAUUUUGAUUUAUUGGAUUAAUGAUAGGUUAAAUUUGAGGAAGAUCAUUUUCAAUUAUCAAUUUAUUCUAAUUCCAAAAUAUUAUUUAAAAUAUCUUAUUGAGUUUAAUAUUAUUAUGAGCAUUUGCAUUAUGAUAUAAGUUUGAAGAAUUAUAAUCCAAAACAUCCAAUUACCAUUUAAUGCCUUUUGCUUAGAAUGCUUUUAACUGGAAAUUUUCCUAAUUGUAUCUGAAACUUAGAACAUGCUACUAUUUACCAUCUUUAAUAAUGUAUUAUGUAAUAUUGUAUUUUACAGUCAUGAUGAGGAAAUACAAGUAACAUUUCAGUUAAUUAAAAAAAUUUUGCUUCUAAAUUUGUACAACACUUGUAAACUAUUUACAAAGUGUAUUUUUCCUACUAUGAGAAAUUAUGUUACAUUAGCAGAAUAAGUUUAUAAUCUAUAAAGUGCAACUAAUUAUAGCACUAAAAUCAUAAAGAUUGAGGCUUUUUUUAAAAAAAAAAUCAAUUCUUCCACUAAACUUUAGCAACUUUGUUGACUCAUCUGUAAAUAGAAUUUGUUAUUUUAUUGUUGUAUAUUAUUUUGUUUCAAAGAAAUAAAAAUUUAUUUAAGUAACGUUGUA